GAUGAACGCUGGCGGCGUGCCUAAUACAUGCAAGUCGAGCGAACAGACGAGGAGCUUGCUCCUCUGACGUUAGCGGCGGACGGGUGAGUAACACGUGGAUAACCUACCUAUAAGACUGGGAUAACUUCGGGAAACCGGAGCUAAUACCGGAUAACAUGUUGAACCGCAUGGUUCAAUAGUGAAAGACGGUCUUGCUGUCACUUAUAGAUGGAUCCGCGCCGCAUUAGCUAGUUGGUAAGGUAACGGCUUACCAAGGCAACGAUGCGUAGCCGACCUGAGAGGGUGAUCGGCCACACUGGAACGGAGACACGGUCCAGACUCCUACGGGAGGCAGCAGUAGGGAAUCUUCCGCAAUGGGCGAAAGCCUGACGGAGCAACGCCGCGUGAGUGAAGAAGGUCUUCGGAUCGUAAAACUCUGUUAUUAGGGAAGAACAAAUGUGUAAGUAACUAUGCACGUCUUGACGGUACCUAAUCAGAAAGCCACGGCUAACUACGUG
rnacentral:rRNA from 1 species